AUGCGGAAGGAGAAGAACUACAAGACGGGGUUGAACAACUAUACCGCGCGACCUCGGGGGACGAUCCACCAGACUCCGGCUUUCUCCGGAACUUCCGGCCGGAAGGUGACCCUGCAUUGCACAGUGGAGGGUAGUACCAGUGUUGAUAACUACCUGUACUGGUACCGACAAUACCCGGGAACCGGUCCGGAGAACAUGUUUUACUCGUCGACAGCAAAGUACGUCCAACCAGAAGGUCUGAACGACGGUUUUUCGGCGGAACGGCCGCAGGGUAACGAGUUUUUCUUGAAGUCCGACAAACUGGAGGCAAGUUCGGCGGCCGUGUAUUUCUGCGCCUGGAAUGAUCACGGCGGCUCAGAGUGA